GCCCUGGUGGUGAAAUGGUAGACACGAGUGAUUCAAAAUCAGUUGCGUAAUGCGUGGAGGUUCAAGUCCUCUUCAGGGCA
rnacentral:tRNA from 1 species